AUAUCAAUAAGCGGAGGAAAAGGAACUAACAAGGAUUCCCCUAGUAACUGCGAGUGAAGCGGGAAAAGCUCAAAUUUAAAAUCUGGCAGUCUCUGGCUGUCCGAGUUGUAAUCUAGAGAAGUAAUGCCCGUGCUGGACCGUGUAUAAGUCUCCUGGGAUGGGGCGUCAUAGAGGGUGAGAAUCCCGUCUUUGACACGGACUACCAGUGCAUUGUGGUAUGCUCUCAAAGAGUCGAGUUGUUUGGGAAUGCAGCUCUAAAUGGGCGGUAAAUUCCAUCUAAAGCUAAAUAUUGGCGAGAGACCGAUAGCGCACAAGUA
rnacentral:rRNA from 1 species